CCUACGGGAGGCAGCAGUGAGGAAUAUUGGUCAAUGGUCGGGAGACUGAACCAGCCAAGCCGCGUGAGGGAGGAAGGUACAGAGUAUCGUAAACCUCUUUUGUCAGGGAACAAAGGCGGGGACGUGUCCCCGGCUGAGUGUACCUGAAGAAAAAGCAUCGGCUAACUCCGUGCCAGCAGCCGCGGUAAUACGGAGGAUGCGAGCGUUAUCCGGAUUUAUUGGGUUUAAAGGGUGCGCCGGCGGUCUGUUAAGUCAGCGGUCAAAGCCCGGGGCUCAACCCCGGCCCGCCGUUGAAACUGGCAGUCUCGAGUGGGAGAGAAGUAGGCGGAAUGCGCGGUGUAGCGGUGAAAUGCAUAGAUAUCGCGCAGAACUCCGAUUGCGAAGGCAGCAUGCCGGCUCCACACUGACGCUGAGGCACGAAAGCGUGGGUAUCGAACAGGAUUAGAUACCCGAGUAGUC
rnacentral:rRNA from 1 species